rnacentral:rRNA from 1 species
CGAGUGGCGGACGGGUGAGUAAUGUCUGGGAAACUGCCCGAUGGAGGGGGAUAACUACUGGAAACGGUAGCUAAUACCGCAUAACGUCGCAAGACCAAAGAGGGGGACCUUCGGGCCUCUUGCCAUCGGAUGUGCCCAGAUGGGAUUAGCUAGUAGGUGGGGUAAAGGCUCACCUAGGCGACGAUCCCUAGCUGGUCUGAGAGGAUGACCAGCCACACUGGAACUGAGACACGGUCCAGACUCCUACGGGAGGCAGCAUG